rnacentral:rRNA from 1 species
GUCUUUAAGAUUUUAAUUUUAAGUCUAAUCUGCCCAAUGAUUAUUUUAAAUGGCUGCAGAAUAUUUACUGUACAAAGGUAGCAUAAUAAUUUGUUUUUUAAUUAAAAACUAGAAUGAAAGAUUUAAUGAAAUAUAAACUGUUUCAAAUAAUUUUAAUUGAAUUUUUUAUUUAAGUUAAAAAACUUAAAUAAUAUUUAAAGACGACAAGACCCUAUAGAGUUUUAUUUAUUAAAAUAAAAAUUUAUUUUAGUAAAUUUUAUUGGGGUAAUAAAAAAAUUUAAUUAAUUUUUUUUAAAAAUUACAUUUUUAAAUGAAUUUUUUAUCUUAAUUUUUAAAUUAAAAAAAUUAACUACCUUAGGGAUAACAGCAUAAUUUUUUUUAAAAGAUCAUAUUAAUAAAAAAGAUUAU